rnacentral:ribozyme from 11 species
ACCGAGAGAAUAGAAAGAGAAACAAAUCGCAAGGGGCUCAAGCCUAUCAUUUCUUUGUUUUCUUCUUCGUCUUCCAUCUUUCUGAGCGCAUUUCGUUUCUCUCUUUCCUCUUUUU